UGUUCCCUUAGUAAAGUCAUAGGUUAUUGUUUUAAAUCAGAGUAAUGAAUAAACUCUAAGGAAAUGGUUGUUUGUUCAUGAAAAACACUUGAAAUUAUGAGAAAUUGGGAAAUCUAGGAAGUUUUAUCAUAAACCUUGAAAGGAGGAGCAUAUGGUCCCUGAUAUUCCACUUUGUAGUUGUACAGUCAUUUCUACAUUUAACUGCAUGAAGUUGCCUUGAAUGAGGAACAAAACUAAAGUGACAUUAGCUUCUUCUGGUUUUUUUCUGCUAUUUCUUUUUUUCCAUUUUGGCUUUCUUUAUCAUGUUCAACUACUCAUAGUCCAACGUAAUUGCUGUCUUUCUUUAGAGUGCAAGUUUAUUAUUAGAGUUUUUUAUUGAUAGACAUGUUUUUUGAAAUCCCGUUGAUAGACAUUUAUGGAAGCUGAUGUAGACCAAGAUGGCAGCAUAGAUAAAUCUGAAUGGCAAAAUUUCGUUUCUAAAAUCCCGUCAUUGUUAAAGAUCAUGACCCUCCCAUACUUGAGGGAUAUUACAACUACUUUUCCAAGUUUUGUUUUUAAUUCAGAAGUUGACGAGAUUGCUAUAUAACCGAAACAAGAUCAGCUUAGAAAUUUAGUGUGAUAUCUUCCUGUUUUUUAUUUUUGAAAAUUAACUGCAGAAGAAGGGAACUGUGGUUUAAUGUGUGACUGAGUAGAAGCUUUAUUGAAAUACUCGGCUGAAUAUUAAGCUUUCUGAUGGAAGCAAUAUAUUAUUUGUGCAGUUAAUUCCCAAAUAUUACGGUGUAGGUUUAGAUUGAUCUGAUUAUUAUAUUUAUUUUUUCUGCAUUAAAUAUGAAUACAGAAUGAU